rnacentral:rRNA from 1 species
CAGUAGCCGCGGUAACACGUAGGGUGCAAGCGUUAAUCGGAAUUACUGGGCGUAAAGCGUGCGCAGGCGGUUUGUUAAGACAGAUGUGAAAUCCCCGGGCUCAACCUGGGAACUGCAUUUGUGACUGGCAAGCUAGAGUGUGGCAGAGGGGGGUGGAAUUCCGCGUGUAGCAGUGAAAUGCGUAGAUAUGCGGAGGAACACCGAUGGCGAAGGCAGCCCCCUGGGCCAACACUGACGCUCAUGCACGAAAGCGUGGGGAGCAAACAGGAUUAGAGACCCCCGUAGUCCCUGUCUCUUAUAA